rnacentral:sRNA from 1 species
AAGGCGAGGAUGCCGGAGGAUUACGACUCAGGACGAGGGGUCAGGAGCGCCAGGAGGCGAAGACCGGGAUUGUCAGGAUGACAAACGUCUGGAGACGUUUUAAAAGGGAAAGGGAAAGGGAUAGAAACAAGGACCGUUGGAAGCUAAGGGAAAGACAGGGUAAGUCGAUAGCUGACAUGGAAAGUGGAAACCCGUUAAGGGUUGUGAGUGCGGAAAAAGGCGACAGAUUAAUCUGUCGCCUUUUUUCUUUGCUUGCUU